CUACGAAGGGGGCUAGCGUUGUUCGGAUUUACUGGGCGUAAAGCGCACGUAGGCGGAUUGAUCAGUUAGGGGUGAAAUCCCGAGGCUCAACCUCGGAACUGCCUUUAAUACUGUCAGUCUAGAGACCGGAAGAGGUGAGUGGAACUCCUAGUGUAGAGGUGGAAUUCGUAGAUAUUAGGAAGAACACCAGUGGCGAAGGCGGCUCACUGGUCCGGUACUGACGCUGAGGUGCGAAAGCGUGGGGAGCGAACAGGAUUAGAAACCCUUGUAGUCC
rnacentral:rRNA from 1 species